rnacentral:rRNA from 1 species
CCAAAGGAUCGGCCCGCGUCUGAUUAGCUAGUUGGUGAGGUAACGGCUCACCAAGGCUACGAUCAGUAGCUGGUCUGAGAGGAUGAUCAGCCACACUGGGACUGAGACACGGCCAGACUCCUACGGGAGGCAGGAGGGGGAAUCUUGGACAAUGGGCGCAAGCCUGAUCCAGCCAUGCCGCGUGAGUGAUGAAGGCCUUAGGGUUGUAAAGCUCUUUCAGCGGGGAAGAUAAUGACGGUACCCGCAGAAGAAGCCCCGGCUUAACUUCGUGCCAGCAGCCGGGUAAAUACGCAAGGGGGCUAGCGUAGCUCGGAAUCACUGGGCGUAAAGCGCACGUAGGCGGUUUCUAAGUCAGGGGUGAACAUCCUGGAGGCUCAACUCCA